rnacentral:rRNA from 1 species
GUCGAACGCUGGCGGCGUGCCUAAUACAUGCAAGUCGAACGCAGUGGGGACGGGUGAGUAACACGUGGGUAACCUCCCAUCAGAGGGGAUAACACUUGGAAACAGGUGCUAAACCGAUACUGAUGGAUGGACCCGCGGGGUAUUUGCUAGCUGGUGAGGAAACGGCCCACCAAGGCCACGAUGCGUAGCUGGCCGGAGAGGUUGACCCGCCACACUGGGACUGAGAAACGGCCCAGACUCCUACGGGAGGCAGCAGUGGGGAAUCUUCGGCAAUGGACGAAAUUCUGACCGAGCAACGCCGCGUGAGUGAAGAAGGUUUUCGGAUCGUAAAACACUGUUGUUAGAGAAGCGGUAUCUACCCAAAAAGCCACGGCUAACUACGUGCCAGCAGCCGCGGUAAUUC